rnacentral:rRNA from 1 species
UGCCCUUCUCAUCGGAAUAACCAUUGGAAACGAUGGCUAAUGCCGAAUACGACCUCCUUUCGCAUGAUCGGAGGUGGAAAGCUCCGGCGGAGAAGGAUGAGCUCGCGGCCUAUCAGCUAGUUGGCGGGGUAACGGCCCACCAAGGCGACGACGGGUAGCCGGCCUGAGAGGGUGACCGGCCACACUGGGACUGAGACACGGCCCAGACUCCUACGGGAGGCAGCAGUGGGGAAUAUUGGACAAUGGGCGAAAGCCUGAUCCAGCAACGCCGCGUGAGGGAUGACGGCCUUCGGGUUGUAAACCUCUUUCAGCAGGGACGAAGCGAAAGUGACGGUACCUGCAGAAGAAGGACCGGCCAACUACGUGCCAGCAGCCGCGGUAAUACGUAGGGUCCGAGCGUUGUCCGGAAUUAUUGGGCGUAAAGGGCUCGUAGGCGGUUUGUCGCGUCGGGAGUGAAAACUCAGGGCUCAACCCUGAGCGUGCUUCCGAUACGGGCAGACUAGAGGUAUUCAGGGGAGAACGGAAUUCCUGGUGUAGCGGUGGAAUGCGCAGAUAUCAGGAGGAACACCGGUGGCGAAGGCGGUUCUCUGGGAAUUACCUGACGCUGAGGAGCGAAAGCAUGGGUAGCGAACAGGAUUAGAUACCCUGGUAGUCCAUGCCGUAAACGUUGGGCGCUAGGUGUGGGGACCUUCCACGGUCUCCGUGCCGCAGCUAACGCAUUAAGCGCCCCGCCUGGGGAGUACGGCCGCA